GCCCCCUUAGCUCAGCGGAAUAGAGCAACGGACUUCUAAUCCGUAGGUCGCUGGUUCGAAUCCAGCAGGGGGUGCCA
rnacentral:tRNA from 1 species